UACGGAGGAUGCAAGCGUUAUCCGGAAUGAUUGGGCGUAAAGCGUCCGCAGGUGGCUGUGUAAGUCUGCUGUCAAAGAGCGAAGCUCAACUUCGUAAAGGCAGUGGAAACUACACGGCUAGAGUGCGUUCGGGGCAGAGGGAAUUCCUGGUGUAGCGGUGAAAUGCGUAGAUAUCAGGAAGAACACCGGUGGCGAAAGCGCUCUGCUAGGCCGCAACUGACACUGAGGGACGAAAGCUAGGGGAGCGAAUGGG
rnacentral:rRNA from 1 species